GCUCAGCGUGUGUGCCUCGUGUGUCUCGCAAACUGUGGCAGCAACAACGAAGCAUUCACAUCCACAUCGCAGCAUCGUAGCACCGUAGCAUCAUCCAGUUGCAUCGAACACUCUCGACUCAAUCAGUCAAUCAUUGAAUCUGUGUGGAAAACCAGUAGGCGGGUGCGUCUGCGUCGCGUGUGUCUGCUUGCCACUUGCUACGUGCCACUUGCCACUUGCUACGUGCCACUUGCCACUACGGCUUUGGGCUCUGACUUUGACUUUGUUCAAUAUUUUCGAGCGGGUUUUUUUCGAACCGCUUCCAGUUGCGUCGCGCUGCACCGCGUCGCGCAUUUGUUUUUGGAUUCGGAUUUGGAUUUGAAUUUUAAUCCCCCCCCCCGUACGUGUCACGUGCUCUUUGUUUGUUGUUUUUUUAUGUUGUGGAGUGAAGAGUGCUGCAACGUGCAACAUUUGGCGUCGUCUCCGCCGCUUGGACCUGCUCUGACUGACCGAAAAGUUUACACUGGCAACUGGUAGGCGACUGCAA